CGGAAACUGAGAUUCAAGGAGAUAAAGUGACACGCUCAAGACCACAGUGAGAACAUGGUACUCUGCUACAGAGGAUCCAGGUGACCAUGUGUGCAAAGAAUUGAACCCAGUGCCUCACACAUGCCAGACAAGCGUUCUCCGCCAGCCCCAGGAUCACUGAAUAUUUAGGAAGACUCCCAAUGUGGACCCCUGAGACCAACAUAAAUUGAAAAGAGGACCUAAGCCAGAAGGUGCUUUUCGUCCUGUCUGGGUGCCUGAACGCGCAAUCGGACAUGGAAGAGAUAGAACCGAGAUUCAAGAGACUAAAGAUCGACCCGGAGAAGUCCCCAUCCAAAAGGAAGAGAUAUCGGAAAAAGACAAAGAGAAACCAGAUUGACCCAGCUGAAAAGCUGAUUUCAUGGGAAGAGGAGAAGAAGCUAACAACACAGGCUUCCCGAAUAAUUUGACUCCUAGGAAAGAACAGGACCCCAGUCUUGAUGGUAGCGACAGUAAUUGCCCUGCUGGGCUGUCAGGAUGGCGAGUCUUCGGAACAAGAAUGCAGAAACUCGAAAGAGUGAACCACUGCCUGAUUUUUAAGAGAAAAAAGGGGGAAUAUGUGGGGAGCCAUUCUCGCACGUGAUUGGGCACCUCCCUG